rnacentral:rRNA from 1 species
GGAAUCAACGCUGGCGGCGUGCCUAACACAUGCAAGUCGCACGAGAAAGGGUAGCAAUACCUGAGUACAGUGGCGCACGGGUGAGUAACACGUGAAUAAUCUACCUCCGAGUGGGGAAUAACUGAGAGAAAUCUUAGCUAAUACCGCAUAACACUUACGAGUCAAAGCAGCAAUGCGCUUGGAGAGGAGUUCGCGGCCGAUUAGUUAGUUGGCGGGGUAAUGGCCCACCAAGACGAUGAUCGGUA